AUCCUGGCUCAGGACGAACGCUGGCGGCGUGCCUAAUACAUGCAAGUCGAGCGAACAGAAGGGAGCUUGCUCCCGGAUGUUAGCGGCGGACGGGUGAGUAACACGUGGGUAACCUGCCUGUAAGACUGGGAUAACUCCGGGAAACCGGAGCUAAUACCGGAUAGUUCCUUGAACCGCAUGGUUCAAGGAUGAAAGACGGUUUCGGCUGUCACUUACAGAUGGACCCGCGGCGCAUUAGCUAGUUGGUGGGGUAAUGGCUCACCAAGGCGACGAUGCGUAGCCGACCUGAGAGGGUGAUCGGCCACACUGGGACUGAGAC
rnacentral:rRNA from 1 species